GCUUAACACAUGCAAGUCGAGGGGCAGCACGAGGUAGCAAUACUUUGGUGGCGACCGGCGCACGGGUGAGUAACGCGUAUGUAACCUACCUUGUACAGGGGGAUAGCCCGGAGAAAUUCGGAUUAAUACCCCAUAAUGAUAUUUGAAGGCAUCUUUGAAUAUUUAAAGUUUCGACGGUACGAGAUGGGCAUGCGUGACAUUAGCUAGUUGGUAAGGUAACGGCUUACCAAGGCUUCGAUGUCUAGGGGUCCUGAGAGGGUGAUCCCCCACACUGGUACUGAGACACGGACCAGACUCCUACGGGAGGCAGCAGUGAGGAAUAUUGGUCAAUGGGCGUAAGCCUGAACCAGCCAUCCCGCGUGAAGGAAGAAGGCGCUAUGCGUCGUAAACUUCUUUUCCGGAGGAAUAAAAUUUUGUACGAGUACAGAACUGAAGGUACUCCGGGAAUAAGCAUCGGCUAACUCCGUGCCAGCAGCCGCGGUAAUACGGAGGAUGCAAGCGUUAUCCGGAUUUAUUGGGUUUAAAGGGUGCGUAGGCGGAUUAAUAAGUCAGUGGUG
rnacentral:rRNA from 1 species